UGAUCCUGACUACGAUAUUUUCUUUUAAUUAUAUCUUGGGUUUUCUCCACGUAUGUGGAGG
rnacentral:sRNA from 1 species